UCUUCACCCCGCCCCUCCCUUACUUGGUCGCUCGGCUGGCCCGAUUCACCUUCGGGGUGAAGGCUACCAGCGAGCAUUAUAGCAGAAGACUUUAAUAUAUGCAGGCGGCAGCAGGAACUCUGGGAACUUGGGUGCCCUUGCCUGGCAGUAAGGGUUGAACUAUCUGGAUCUGAAAUACUUUUCAGAGCCGAGGGGUGAUAGGCUCUGCAAAAGCACUUUUUGCCCCUCUCCCUUAUGCCAAUACUCGCUGACUGUGCACACAAGUCAUAUUCAGUAUUAAAUACAAACCGGUCUGUAAUUCAGUGGCUCUAGCAAGACGCCUCUGAAAGGGCCAGGUGGCGGGUGCAAGUUGCUCAUCAACCCUUUAGAGUCGCAGUUUGCAGAUCUGAGUUAGAUCCCCGGCUUUAAGGUCCUUCAGUUGCCCUCCUCCCCCACCUCCCCCCGCCACUGCGAGAAAAAUGUGCAAAGAGAAGGAAAUUUGCACAUCAAACGAGGGGCAAUCGCGGCAGUAGAUGAACUUGAUUAGGCAGACGCGUGAGAUCAAAGUGGCCGGGACCAAAGCGGACAGGGUCCAACGUGCCAGCACUGCCAAGAGAAGGCCUUUUGUACUCAGGUUAAAUAAGAACAUCCUGCAAGGAGUCUGUUCUUUUAUGCAGCCUAAAGAUCAAGUAAUAAUCAUUGACAUUGAUACUGAGCAUGUCGAUUUUGAAGAGACUGGCAUUUCCUGGUAAUGAAGUGGAGUAUAUAUCCAUAUAUUUCUGUUUUCUAGAUAAGAAGACUAACCUAACCAAGUAGGAACCUUGAAGAAUCAUGUUCUUCCUAGGAAUUACAAAUCCCCCGAUUCCAUGUCUAACAUAAUUUCUACUGGCCUCUUUGCUUCUCAUGCUUUAGUAUCAGUGCUUCUAAAUUUGAAAGUCUUCAUGCAAAUUGCCCAACUCACAGCGCAGCCACUGUUGAGGAAAUGCUGAUCA
rnacentral:antisense_RNA from 1 species